rnacentral:rRNA from 1 species
CCCCUAGAUGUUCUGGGCCGCACGCGCGCUACACUGAACAGUUCAACAAGUCUUAACCUUGGCCGACAGGCCUGGGCAAUCUUUGAACAUCGAUCGUGAUCGGGAUAGAUUCUUGUAAUUUUUGAUCUUAAACGAGGAAUUCCUAGUAAACGCAAGUCAUCAGCUUGCAUUGAUUACGUCCCUGCCCUUUGUACACACCGCCCGUCGCACCUACCGAUUGAAUGGUCCGGUGAAAUCUCCGGACUGGCGUGAGUCGGAGCAAUCUGACAAACACCGGAAAGUUGAUUAAACCUUNCNAUUUAGNGGAAGGUGAANUCGUANCA